rnacentral:rRNA from 1 species
AUUGAACGCUGGCGGCAGGCUUAACACAUGCAAGUCGAGCGAGCGGCGGACGGGUGAGUAAUGUCUGGGAAACUGCCUGAUGGAGGGGGAUAACUACUGGAAACGGUAGCUAAUACCGCAUACCAUCAGAUGUGCCCAGAUGGGAUUAGCUAGUUGGUGGGGUAACGGCUCACCAAGGCGACGAUCCCUAGCUGGUCUGAGAGGAUGACCAGCCACACUGGAACUGAGACACGGUCCAGACUCCUACGGGAGGCAGCAGUGGGGAAUAUUGCACAAUGGGCGCAAGCCUGAUGCAGCCAUGCCGCGUGUAUGAAGAAGGCCUUCGGGUUGUAAAGUACUUUCAGCGGGGAGGCGUUACCCGCAGAAGAAGCACCGGCUAACUCCGUGCCAGCAGCCGCGGUAAUAC